rnacentral:rRNA from 1 species
UACGUAGGGAGCAAGCGUUGUCCGGAAUCAUUGGGCGUAAAGAGCGUGUAGGCGGUUCGGUAAGUCUGCUGUGAAAGUCCAGGGCUCAACCCUGGAAAGCCGGUGGAUACUGUCGGACUAGAGUGCGGAAGAGGCGAGUGGAAUUCCCGGUGUAGCGGUGAAAUGCGCAGAUAUCGGGAGGAACACCAAUUGCGAAGGCAGCUCGCUGGGACGUGACUGACGCUGAGACGCGAAAGCGUGGGGAGCAAACAGG